ACCACUGCAGCAGUGCACGACAGUGCGACCAGCGCCGCCGACUAAAAGAAACUCGAACAUUUUGCUUUUCUUCGGUUCUGCCGAGUGGCGUCUGGCAGACACGCCGCCCGUCCUCCCGCGUGAGAGAAGGGUCGGCGAUGUAAGAAAGGAAAGGAAAAACAAACAGCGAAGAAGCGACACAGACUCCGAGCAGAGACGGGCGUCUAGCGUUUCUUGCGGCGGUCGCGGAAAGACAAGGACCCAGCCUUGUGACUCUUCGCGAGGGGCCUCGACGUCAGUGCAACUCGGGGCCGACGGGCCCGACGCGAGGGCCGCGAAGCAACCACUUUCGACGGCCACUAUAGAGGGCAAGUGGCGAUUUGUGCCCGUCACCUUCCGUCCGUCACGCUGGGAUGCCCGUUGCGCUCCACUUGGAUGCAUGCACUCGCCUGUGUUCACCUGUGUUUUUCCCACGCUCGGAAAACAUCUUGCUCAAAUAAACCUGGACACGCCAUUAAAGCGCCAUCGCUGCA
rnacentral:lncRNA from 1 species